rnacentral:rRNA from 1 species
UACACUCCUACGGGAGGCAGCAGUGGGGAAUCUUGCGCAAUGGGCGAAAGCCUGACGCAGCCAUGCCGCGUGAAUGAUGAAGGUCUUAGGAUUGUAAAAUUCUUUCACCGGGGACGAUAAUGACGGUACCCGGAGAAGAAGCCCCGGCUAACUUCGUGCCAGCAGCCGCGGUAAUACGAAGGGGGCUAGCGUUGCUCGGAAUUACUGGGCGUAAAGGGAGCGUAGGCGGACAUUUAAGUCAGGGGUGAAAUCCCGGGGCUCAACCUCGGAAUUGCCUUUUAUACUGGGUGUCUUGAGUAUGAGAGAGGGGUGUGGAACUCCGAGUGUAGAGGUGAAAUUCGUAGAUAUUCGGAAGAACACCAGUGGCGAAGGCGACACACUGGCUCAUUACUGACGCUGAGGCUCGAAAGCGUGGGGAGCAAACAGGAUUAGAUACCCGUGUAGUCCCAUGAU